rfam:Triticum urartu cultivar G1812 contig730896, whole genome shotgun sequence.
CUUGUACUCCCUCCGUUCCGAAUUACUCGUCGCAGAAAUGGAUGUAUCUAGAUGUAUUUUAGUUCUAGAUGCAUCCAUUUAUACGACGAGUAAUUUGGAACGGAGGGAGUACCUC